GACACAAACAGGCAAAGUGAAAAUCCAUCACCUGUUCAAAAAAGAACUUCCAGGCGUGGUGGUCGCGGACAACGUGGUCGUGGCAGUCGUCGUGGACGUGUAGGCCGUCUGAAAUCAUAUCAACACGCUGGAGGUCAAUACGCGAUAGGUUUAUGCGUGACCUCAAUCAUGAACGAACGGCGCCAAGUGGUUCCGUUCCUUCUCAGAGGAAAGCUUACCAAUAUGCACCACAUCUUCAAUUUCUUCAACGUUGUUUUCAGCAGCGCAUGACUCAUUCAAGCACACUCCCUCCUGAAGCAGAACCUCUUGAACAUGAGGAAUCAACCGAACAAUUGUCUGG